UACGAAGGGGGCUAGCGUUGUUCGGAAUCACUGGGCGUAAAGCGCGUGUAGGCGGAUUGUUAAGUCGGGGGUGAAAUCCCGAGGCUCAACCUCGGAACUGCCUUCGAUACUGGCGAUCUUGAGUACGGGAGAGGUGAGUGGAAUUCCCAGUGUAGAGGUGAAAUUCGUAGAUAUUGGGAAGAACACCGGUGGCGAAGGCGGCUCACUGGCCCGUAACUGACGCUCAGGCGCGAUAGCGUGGGGAUCAAACAGG
rnacentral:rRNA from 1 species